rfam:Schistosoma curassoni strain Dakar, Senegal genome assembly, scaffold: SCTD_scaffold0006799
AUCCAGCUGACGAGUCCCAAAAUAGGGCGAAAUACGCGUCCUGAAU